rnacentral:lncRNA from 10 species
GCCAUCACGCCCGGCUAAUUUUUUGUAUUUUUAGUAGAGACGGGGUUUCACCGUGUUAGCCAGGAUGGUCUCGAGCUCCUGACCUCAUGAUCCGCCCGCCUCGGCCUCCCAAAGUGCUGGGAUUACAGGCGUGAGUCACAGCGCCCGGCGAGUUCAUACUGCUAUUUUUAAUUCAAAUUCGGACAACAGGGCUAAGGUGGACACUUAGGUGGCCAAUGAAUCUCUUCCUAUAUUGGACUUGAAACUUAGAAAAUUACACAGUAAAGCAACAAAGCUCAAGAAAUGUACAAAACCAUGUUUGAUGCCACAAGGAACAGGAAAAGUGAAGCAUCAUAUGAAGAAGUAAUACAUUAAUCAAGCCAACAUGGGAAGGAGAAAACAGAUGAAAUAUAGUCAAGCCAUGGGCUUCGACAAAGUUCUCAGAGAAACAGACUCCCAGACGACGCUGGCCAUUCCCUGGCAACGGCCAGGUUUGCCAUUAUCCAGCCACUCUGAGACCUGUUAUCAGGCCUGAGACUUGUAGAAAAUCAGAAUUUUGUGAGAUUCCAAUGCAAAGGAAAUCAUUUAGUUUUACUUUAAGCAACUCUUAAGUAGGCAAGAGUAUUAGGAUUCUCCAGAGAAACAGAACUAAAUAUGUCUAUAUAUGUAUAUAAAAUAUAUACUUCUAUGUAAAUCUAUAUUGUACAUGCAAACACACACACGCACCCACACAUGCGUGUGCACACACACACAGAGAAAGUAAAAAAGUGGUUCACAUUAUUGUGGAGGCUGGAGUCCCAAGAUCUGCAGUGGGCAAGCUGAAAAUACAGGGGAAGUCAUGGUAUAAGAUUUAGUCCAAGUUGGAAGGGCUGAGAACUCAGAGUCAAUGAUUAAGUUCCAGCCUGAGGGCUAGAGAAGAUCAAUGUCUCAGCUCAAGCUGUCAGGCAGGCUAAGUAUCCUCUUAACGCAACCAUUUUGCUCUAUUCUGAUAUUCAGUUGAUUAAAUGAGACCCACACUCAUUGGAGAAGGCAAGCCACUUUACUCAAUUUACCAAUUCAAGUGUUACUAUCACCCAGAAACAUCCUCACAAAAACGCCCAGAAUAAUGUUUGACCAAAUGUUGGGAACCCCAUUGCCCAGUCAAAUGAACCCAUAAAAUUAAUGAUCACAAUUGGAGAAAUAAUCAUUUGUAACUGCUGUGCCAAAUUCUUUCUGUAGUUUUGUCUAUACCAUGGCUAGACAUGUGCAUGAAAGAUAUUUCAUAUUGAAAGAUAAAUAUAUUUAAAGAAUAAAUAUCAUUAUGAAAAACUUGCUUAAGACUGGUAUUAUCGUGAGUGUGUGUGUGUGUGUGUGUGUGUGUGUGUGUGAGUUGGGAUCUCUCUCUGUCUCUCAGGCUGGAAUGCAGUGGUUCUAUCAUGGCUCGUGGCAGCCUCAAACUUCUGGGCUCAAGCAAUUCUCCCAUCUCAUCAUCCCAAGUAGCUACGACUACAAGUGCAUGUCACCAUGUCUAGCUAAAGUUGUUUCUUUUUAUUUUUGUACAGGCAGGAUCUUGCUAUGUUGCCCAGGCUGGUUUUGAACUUCUGGCCUAAAGUGAUCCUCCUGCCUUGGCCUCCCAAAGUGCUGGGAUUACAGACGUGACUCAUCGUGCCCAUCCUCCUAUUAUCUUUUUAACAUUUUUGCUUUCUUUGAGAUUUUAUAUACUACAAAGAAUGUCAAGUUGGGUAGAUUUAUUGUAAAUAGAAUAAGGUAUCUCUGGAUUUGUGUUUAUAGCAUUAAAGACUUCAAUAAAGAUUUAUACAUUAUAUCUG